AUUGAACGCUGGCGGAAGGCCUAACACAUGCAGGUCGAGCGGAGCGGCGGACGGGUGAGUAAUGCCCAGGAAUCUGCCUUGUAGUUGGGGAUAUCGUCACGAAACGGACCCUAAUACCCCAUUCUAUCAGAUGAGCCUAUGUCGGAUUAGCUAGUGGGUGGGGUAACUGCCUACCAAGGCGACGAUCCGUAACUGGUCUGAGAGGAUGAUCAGUCACACUGGAACUGAGAUAAGGUUCAGAAGACAACGGGAGGCAGCAGUGGGGAAUAUUGGACAAUGGGCGAAGGCCUGAACCAGCAAAGGCGAGUGAGUGAAGAAGGUCUGCGGAGUGUAAAGCAAUUUAAUUUGUGAGGCGAUACCGUAAGAAUAAGCACCGGGUAACUUCGUGACAGCAGCCGCGGUAAUAC
rnacentral:rRNA from 1 species